UACGGAGGGUGCAAGCGUUAUCCGGAUUCACUGGGCUUAAAGGGUGCGUAGGCGGGUUGAUAAGUCAGUGGUGAAAUCCCCGAGCUUAACUUGGGAACUGCCAUUGAUACUAUUGAUCUUGAAUACCGUGGAGGUCAGCGGAAUAUGUCAUGUAGCGGUGAAAUGCUUAGAUAUGACAUAGAACACCAAUUGCGAAGGCAGCUGGCUACGCGAAUAUUGACACUGAUGCACGAAAGCGUGGGGAUCAAACAGG
rnacentral:rRNA from 1 species